rnacentral:rRNA from 1 species
UACGUAGGGUGCAAGCGUUAAUCGGAAUUACUGGGCGUAAAGCGUGCGCAGGCGGUUGUGUAAGUCUGUCGUGAAAUCCCCGGGCUCAACCUGGGAAUUGCGAUGAAGACUGCACGGCUAGAGUGUGUCAGAGGGGGGUAGAAUUCCACGUGUAGCAGUGAAAUGCGUAGAUAUGUGGAGGAACACCGAUGGCGAAGGCAGCCCCCUGGGAUAACACUGACGCUCAUGCACGAAAGCGUGGGGAGCAAACAGG